UACGAAGGGGGCUAGCGUUGCUCGGAAUUACUGGGCGUAAAGGGUGCGUAGGCGGGUCUUUAAGUCAGAGGUGAAAUCCUGGAGCUCAACUCCAGAACUGCCUUUGAUACUGAGGAUCUUGAGUUCGGGAGAGGUGAGUGGAACUGCGAGUGUAGAGGUGAAAUUCGUAGAUAUUCGCAAGAACACCAGUGGCGAAGGCGGUUCUCUGGGACGGUACUGACGCUGAGACGCGAAAGCGUGGGGAGCGAACAGG
rnacentral:rRNA from 1 species